rnacentral:rRNA from 7 species
UUGACCUCGGAUCAGGUAGGGAUACCCGCUGAACUUAAGCGCGGAGGAAAAGAAACCAACAGGGAUUGCCUCAGUAACGGCGAGUGAAGCGGCAAAAGCUCAAAUUUUAAAGCUGACAUCUUCGGUGUCCGCGUUGUAAUUUUGUGAGGCAUCUCCGGGUAGGGCGCCGGCCUAAGUUCCUUGGAACAGGACGUCACAGAGGGUGAGAAUCCCGUGCUUGGCUGGCUGUCCCCGUCCAUGUGAGGUGUCUUCGACGAGUCGAGUUGUUUGGGAAUGCAGCUCAAAAUGGGUGGUAAAUUUCAUCUAAAGCUAAAUAUUGGUGGGAGACCGAUAGCGCACAAGUAGAGUGAUCGAAAGAUGAAAAGCACUUUGAAAAUAGAGUUAAAAAGUACGUGAAAUUGUUGAAAGGGAAGCGCUUGAGACCAGACUUCGGUAAGGGGUGAUCAGCCGUCCUUCUGGGCGGUGCACUUGCCCCCCUCCGGGCCAGCAUCGGUUGAGGCGGCGGGAUAAAGGUCCCGGGAAUGUGGCUCCUUCACGGGAGUGUUAUAGCCCGGGUGAAUGCCGCCAGCUUCGACCGAGGACCGCACCCGC